GCACACUAUUAGGCUGGAAAUACUCCAUUGGAACUUGUAUGGAAGGAUGAAUUCUGUAGCCAGUAUGUUUUGGAUACAGACAGCUAAGGACAUGUUCUAGCUGAACAGCAGGUUGUCCUGGAGUUGCAAGAUGAUGGAAAGUUGACUACAUCUGAUGAUCCUCCAAUUGUAUUUGGCUGCUUGGAAAGAGAGAUCAUACAGAAGUUGUACAAGUUUUCCUAGUUCAGAAGGACCCAUUUUGACAGAGCAUGGCCCAAUGAUUGGCAAUUGCUGAAAGAGACAUGGCUUAUUGGCUUUACUGUAACCACAGGGUUUUCAGCAAAUUCCUUUAUUUAAAAUAUACGGUUUUAAUAUUGUGUGAAGCAUAUUUCCCAUCCCUGGAUUCACUUUCUCUAUUUCAUUCCACUAAUAACUUGUCUAAUAUGCUACAUAAGCUUGUUUAAACAUUUGCAUAAGUCCAAAUAGCAAUUAAAUGAA